rnacentral:rRNA from 1 species
GAUGAACGCUAGCGGCAGGCCUAACACAUGCAAGUCGAGGGAGAGGUUAUCUUCGGGUAACCAAAACCGGCGCACGGGUGCGUAACGCGUAUACAAUCUGCCUUUCACAUAGGGAUAGCCCGAAGAAAUUUGGAUUAAUACCUAAUGGUAUAUAAGAGCGGCAUCGUUUUUAUAUUAAAGCUACGGUGGUGAAAGAUGAGUAUGCGUUCUAUUAGCUAGUUGGAGAGGUAACGGCUCCCCAAGGCGACGAUAGAUAGGGGUUCUGAGAGGGAUGUCCCCCACACUGGUACUGAGAUACGGACCAGACUCCUACGGGAGGCAGCAGUGAGGAAUAUUGGACAAUGGUCGGAAGACUGAUCCAGCCAUGCCGCGUGCAGGAUGAAGGUCCUAUGGAUUGUAAACUGCUUUUGUAAGGGAAGAAUAAGGAGUACGUGUACUUUGAUGACGGUACCUUACGAAUAAGCAUCGGCUAACUCCGUGCCAGCAGCCGCGGUAAUACGGAGGAUGCGAGCGUUAUCCGGAAUCAUUGGGUUUAAAGGGUCCGUAGGCGGGCUGAUAAGUCAGAGGUGAAAGCGCUUAGCUCAACUAAGCAACUGCCUUUGAAACUGUCAGUCUUGAAUGAUUGUGAAGUAGUUGGAAUGUGUAGUGUAGCGGUGAAAUGCUUAGAUAUUACACAGAACACCGAUAGCGAGGGCAUAUUACUAACAAUUUAUUGACGCUGAUGGACGAAAGCGUGGGGAGCGAACAGG